rnacentral:rRNA from 1 species
CGUUUAGGGGUAAACCUGAGAAACCCGAAAGGUCGAAGGGUGAAAUUCAUUCGCGUUUCACUUGACUGGAGAUAGGUGGUGUGAGUGACGGAAGACGUUCGCGUCAACCGCACCCUCUGCUUAUUGAACUAGUUGUGAACGCGUGCACUUUUCACCUGGUAGGACGCCGCGAUUCGUUGGGUGUCGGUCUACGGUUUGCAAGGGAGCCCGUUUACAGACGAUUCUGUCGCCUGUGAACGAACCUGCAUUUCCUGGCCGACUCACUCGACGGUAUACGAACGGUUAGUGGCCGCUACUUAGCUAGCGUUCGACUCGAAGCAAGCACGUCUGAUACGUUGGCAAUCGGACCUAGUGCCGAUUCUGACUUCUGGCGACUGUUGGCUACGAUGUUUUCGAACCGACCACCACUUGAAACCGAUCGGCGACGCUAUAGCUUUGGGUACUUUCAGGACCCGUCUUGAAACACGGACCAAGGAGUCUAGCAUAUGCGCAAGUCAUUGGGAUUUACUAAACCUAAAGGCGCAAUGAAAGUGAAGGUUUUCCUCGUGAAAACCAAGGGAAGAUAGGUGGGUUUUAGCCCUUAAAAGCGACCACCUCGCAUUCCCGGGGCGUCUCGUUCUCAUUGCGAGAUGAGGCGCACCAAAAGCGUAUACGCUGGGACCCGAAAGAUGGUGAACUAUGCCUGGU